rnacentral:rRNA from 1 species
ACGGCCAUACCAUGCUGAAUAUACCGGUUCUCGUUAGAUCACCGAAGUCAAGCAUCAUUGGGCGCGGUUAGUACUUGGGUGGGUGACCACCUGGGAACACCGCGUGCCGUU